GGAAUCUUGCGCAAUGGGCGAAAGCCUGACGCAGCAACGCCGCGUGCGGGAAGAAGGCUUUCGGGCUGUAAACCGCUUUCAGUAGGAACGAAACUGACGGUACCUACAGAAGAAGGAGCGGCCAACUAUGUGCCAGCAGCCGCGGUGACACAUAGGCUCCAAGCGUUGUCCGGAUUUAUUGGGCGUAAAGAGCUCGUAGGCGGUCGAGUAAGUCGGGUGUGAAAACUCUGGGCUUAACCCAGAGGUGCCACUCGAUACUGCUGUGACUUGAGUUCGGUAGGGGAGCGGGGAAUUCCUUGUGUAGCGGUGAAAUGCGCAGAUAUGAGGAGGAACACCGGUGGCGAAGGCGCCGCUCUGGGCCGUAACUGACGCUGAGGAGCGAAAGCGUGGGUAGCAAACAGGAUUAGAUACCCUGGUAGUCCACGCGGUAAACGGUGGUCACUAGGUGUGGGUCUCUACCAAUGAGAUCCGCGCCGUCGCUAACGCAUUAAGUGACCUGCCUGGGGAGUACGGUCGCAAGACUAAAACUCAAAUGAAUUGACGG
rnacentral:rRNA from 1 species